UAUAAUAUUAAGCCAUUGAAAAUCAUAAACCCUAAAAAUUAAAAUUAUUUCGCUUUCCUCACUCUUGUUCAGUCUUCUACUCUUCUCUGUGCGGCGUGCGCCUUCCUCAAUCCUCAUUCCUCUUCAAUUUAAUCUACCUGAUCUUCAAUUGAAUCUAACUGAUCUUCAAUUCAAUCUACCUGAUCUUCCAGCACUUUGCCGGUUUAUGGUGGUGUUUAAGUAUGGUUCAAUGCAUAGAGUUAUUAGUGUAUUGAUGAAGAGACUUAAACAUAUGAUUCAUGUAACCUGAUGAAUAAUAACUAAUGAGUUAAACACAUUGUUUGAACUCUAAUAUAGCAUGGUGUUCAAGAAAAACUAUAAGGAUUUUGCAAACAAUUUGAGGAUUGAUUCAAAGGAUUGCUAUAGUUGUAAUGAAUAUAUUAAUAUAUUACACUCCAAACCUCAAUAUUAAUUACUACAAAUGAUCACUUUUGACAUGGUUUCAAUUGUGGCACAAGUAAGUAAUAUUCGUGGUUAUGCUGUCAGCCACGGAAAUUCAAGCUAGAAACUUACUUGACACAAAUGAUCUACGGGGAAAAUCAUGGUGUGGUUGAAUUGUGGAAUUGACUCUCAUGAAACUCAUGUAUUUGUAGUAGUAUAUUAUUAGUUUUAAUAUUUUAGAAUAAGUCGAAUGAGUAUAAUAUCAGUGAUAUAAAUUGAUGUAUUUGUAUAAUAUUAGUCAUAUUAACAUUAUAUUAUUCGUAUUAAUUUAGUAUAAGUUGUAUUAGUAUACUAUUAGUCGUAUUAGUGUGUUAUUUGUCGUAUUAACAUAGUUUUAGUUGUGUUAGUGUAUUAUUAUUUUAUUAUUUGUGGUAAUAGUGUAGUAUUAGUUCUAU